rnacentral:lncRNA from 13 species
CUGAGGCGCUUCCGCUCAGGUUCCCCUCAGCAAGCCGCUGCUGCUUCAGAAAGAAGAUGAAAAUUACAGGUGAAUGCUCAUGACCCAAAUGGAAAACUGAGGGAAGAGAGCCAAAACCAAUAAGAGAAUCUGCUGAGAGAAGCUUGGGUACAGAAAAGGAAGGCAGCAAGAGUCUCAGAGAUUCAUCUAUGAGGAUCUUGGAGUCCCUCAGAAAGGGUGCGGUGGCUGAUACCUGUAAUCCCAGUACUUUGGAAAGCCGAGGCAGGAGGAUCAUUUAAGGUCAGAAGUUCAAGACCAGCCUGGCCAACAUGGUGAAAUCCCAUCUCUACUAAAAAUACAAAAUUUAGCCAAGUGGUGAGCCAAGAUUGUGCCACUACACUCCAGUCUGAGUGACACAGUAAGUCUCAAAAAAAAAAAAAAAAAAAAUCUCUGCUCCGUGUUUCUGCUUCAGUUUGCAGAAUCUCGGUCAUAGUGAAUAAAACUCAUUCUAGUUCAGGAAAUUUCA